ensembl:misc_RNA Metazoa_SRP Metazoan signal recognition particle RNA
GUUGGGGAAUUAAGAACAAAGUACAGGCGGGCACACCUGUGGUCCCAGCUACUUUGGAAGCUGAGGCAGGAGGAGCACUUGAGCCCAGUAGUUCUGGGCUACAGUGCAUUAUGCUGGUGGGGUGUCCACACUAAGAGCAGCAUCAAUAUGAUGACCUCUCAGGAGUAGGGGACCACCAGGUUGCCUAAGGAGGGGUGAACCUGCCAAGGUCAGAAACAAGCAGAUUAAAACUCCUGUGUUGAGAAGUGGGAAGGAGCCUAUGAAUAAACAUUGUAUUUCAGCCUGGGCAAUACAGCAACAUCCUAUCUUAU